ACCAAUCAUAGAUUAGUAUUUUGCCACGUAAGUACAAUUGAGAAAAAGUGGGCUUUUCGUAUUGAAUCUAUUAAAAUGAUUUGUCAGCCCAUUUAGACAAAGCUGCUUCUUCCGUCUUCAAGCUUCGCGACGCUCUCCCGACUCUAGCGACUCUCUCCUGACUCUUCCACUUCAUCAUCUUCUCCAACUUCUAUUUUUUUUCCGUUACUUUUUCAAUCUUAAAGGGAUUCUUAAAAGUUUUGCUCUACCUCUCCUUGAUAAUCUUCCUAUAUAAAGUUCUAUCUCUAAACCUAAAUCCAUCCUAAAUAAAUCAAAACUAUUCGGCAGAAACGACAUCAAUGUUUAUUAAAUCCACCACGAAGUCUCAGAUUACCACCAGAAAAUCUCCCGUCACCAUGUACUUCAAGGACAUCUCACCAGGACGAUCAACUUUUGGGAGACACAAAACAUAGCCAAAGCUGGAGCCUCUCUUGGAUUAGAGCUACGGCCAUGGAAUCCAACGGAAAGUCUCCCAUCUCCACCGGAAAGUCACAAGCUGUGAAUCCCUUGGAACAGAAUCUACUGUAAGUAAAUUCUAUAGUUCUUUUACUGAAGUUUGAAACGUGGAACAUGAAUCUGUGAGUUGUCUAAAUCUAGAUGCUUUGUUUGUUUGCCUCGGUAUCAGACGAAAUCAAGGCUACAGAUGUUGAUGUGAUCCCCAAGAUACCGUUAUUUUGAUCCAAAUCGAUCUGACGACCUCCGUUAGUGAAAUAAUUUCACAUAUACUAAUAUCAUGCAUGGUACUUAAAUAUCCCCUUACCCAAUAGGUGAUAUGUUCUUUCUUAUAUUCUAAAGUUUUUAGUUUUCAAUGAAAGAUACCUUCUGGAGAAGGAAUUCACAUUGACGGUAUGGUGCCAGGUGCCAACACAUCACUCCCAUAACUUAUGAUGAUUGAGUUCAGAGCAGGCUCUGUUUUUUUUAUAUUGAAAAAGGAUUGUCUUUUAAGUGUUUAUGCAGGAUGAGAGAAGCAUAGAAACAGCAGAAUCUGUGACAUGCUUUUCAUAGCAACGUCUCAUUGCCUUGCUGAUUCCAUCUUCUCUCUUGGCAACCAUUGCCUGCAAUUGAGUGACAGAAAGAGAAUAUACGUUAAGCUGAAGAUUACAUCUGAUCUCAGGUUCGUAAAUCAAAUGAAAUAUAACCUUCUUAUCGUUUCUGACUUCAUGGUGGAGAAUAGGUUCAAUAGAGGAGAUAGAUACAUUCAAAGACAGCUAUAACAGUUAUUACUACCUAUACACAAUUUAUAAUUGGGAACUUAAAAGAGAUAGAUACAUUCAAAGACAGAAUCUUUGGUGUUACUAUUUCAGUUAUAGAAGUGUUUGAGGAGAGUGAAGGGCGUAAACAUGGAGAGUGUUCACUGCUUGAUCUUGCCACAGUCUUGGAAUUCAAAAAGAAACUCUGUGAGGCUAACUCUGUGAGCGAGAGCCAUGUACCAGAUAGUCUCUUGGAGAGACUUAUCAGUGGUACUAUCGAAUUCCCACCAGCUUGUGCCAUUGUAGGUGGAAUAUUAGCACAGGAAGUGAUCAAAGCUGUAUCAGGGAAAGGAGACCCGGUAAAGAACUUCUUCUACUAUGAUGCUCAAGAUGGAAGACAUCUCCAACUCUUUUACCUCUUAACCACUGAGUCCAGAAUUUUCAUCUAACUCUGUUUUUAUAAACUGAAUUCUGUGUUCAUUCUACUCUUAAUUCAUAUUGAAGUAAGAAAAAAGUGGUAAAAAAGAGAGGAUUCACACGAGCGAUUGAAGCAGCAGAUGAGUGAGCUUGAAAGAGAAUGGGCCAGGCAAAAGCUCAUGUUCAUUAAAACCCUUGACAAGAACUUAGGUCUUCCAUCUCUUUCCCUUUUCUUGCUCUGUUUUGAUUACCCUCUUGCAACCUUUAACACAAUCUUUGUAUAAAGUAGCAACUUCUCUGUGCAAAAUUCUCCUCAACUUCUCAAGAAGGCUCCAGUCUGAGGCCGAGGGAAAGCCUGUUGAAAUCAAAGAAGCCAAUUGUCGUGAAAUAUUGUCUUAACCAUGUUACAUACCUCAUUGAGCAACUAAUAAUUUAAUAAUUAUAUUAGGUAACAAAAACUAUAAAGUGUAAUUGAAUCACGCAGUCUAAUAUUGUACUAGAUUUUAACCCGCGCACCCGCGCGGAUGUAUUUUUCAAAAAUAUUUUGCUACUUGUUUUUUAUGUUAAUAUUAGUGCUUGAAAAAAAUCAAAAUCUGAAGAAUGAAACCGAUCUUGAUCUGAAAGUGUAAUACCAAACCCGAACCAAAAUUGAUAGCAAAAUAUUUUGAAAAAUAUGUUAAUAUUUAAUAUGCGCGCCUGCGCGGAUGUAUAUUUUGAAAAA